UAUCAUUUCAGGCAAAUAGAACAAUUAAAAUUCUUUUAAGGAUUCCAGUUAAAAAGGGUCAAAACUAUAAAAUGACACACAAAAUCUUAUGGAAACACUUGCAACAGAAGCCUAUAUUGAACGUAUUGGGAUUAUUUACAUUGAAUAGCAGAACAUUAUUUACGCUCCUGUCUACCAUAAUGGGUUACAUUAUAAUAAUGGUCCAGUUCAAUGAACUCAAUACUGAAAUUGGGUCAUAUGAACAUAAUUCAG